AAGAAGGGGUGACCCAUCAUCUACCUCACUCAAACUUUUUCUUUUUACCCAAACCCUUUCGUAGAGAGAGAGUGAAGAUUGUAAAAGAAAAAUCCUCCAUUUUGGACAAAAAUCUUCAAGCCAUGGGUUGAAUCUCUAGUUUUUCCUCCGAUUAACAGGUAUUACAUGAGCUUCUAUCAUUUUCAAACAUCUAAAUCAGUUUUUAAUUAGUAAUGAAACUAAAAAAUCUCUCUCUAAAAAUAUACGUAUAUACCUAUGUGUAUAUAUGCCUUUUUAACUUCAUAUCUUUCUUGUUCUAGCUACUGGAGUAUUAUGAAAUAGUUUUUGGAGUAGAGAUCAAGGAGAUACAUACUAACCCCAAUUUCGGAAAAACCCUAGCUUGAUUAAGGUAAGGAAUUUUGUUUUGUUUCACCAAAUUCAGGUUAUAUGUAUUGUUUGUAUAUAUAUAUGAGUAUAUUUGUGUUUUCAUUUGUUGGACUGCUAGAUAAAUUUGGGAAAAUAGAAUUUCCAGAGUCUUUUUCGACAGGCCCUUGUUGUUCAAAUGUCUUGAAAAUUUUAUGGUGUAUAUAUUGGAGUGUUUUGAACUUACACACAAAUUUUUGAGUCUUUUGGAUAAUGUUUACUGCUCUUUUAAAAUCAAAAACUUUUACUGGCAAUCUCUGUCAAAAUGUUCUGUAUGACAGAGACUUGAGCCAUCCAUUUCAGUAGUUUCCUGUUGACAAAUACCUCCGAAUUUUUUUU
rnacentral:lncRNA from 1 species